rnacentral:rRNA from 1 species
GACGAACGCUGGCGGCGUGCUUAACACAUGCCAGUCGAACGGAAAGGCCCCUUUGGGGGUACUCGAGUGGCGAACGGGUGCGUAACACGUGAGUAACCUGCCCUUGACUUCGGGAUAACUUCAGGAAACUGGGGCUAAUACCGGAUAGGAAUCCUUGCUGCAUGGUGGGGGUUGGAAAGCUUCGGCGGUUUUGGAUGGACUCGCGGCAUAUCAGCUUGUUGGUGGGGUAGUGGGUUACCAAGGCUUUGACGGGUAGCCGGCCUGAGAGGGCGACCGGCCACAUUGGGACUGAGAGACGGCCCAGACUCCUACGGGAGGCAGCAGUGGGGAAGAUUGCACAAUGGGCGGAAGCCUGAUGCAGCAACGCCGCGUGCGGGAUGACGGCCUUCGGGUUGUAAACCGCUUUCAGCAGGGGCGAAGCUUGUGGUGACGGUACCUGCAGAAGAAGCACCGGCUAACUACGUG